GCUGGCGGCGUGNNCUAACACAUGCAAGCUCGAACGGAGAAUUUCAAGGAGUUUACUUGGAGAAAUUUUUAGUGGCGGACGGGUGAGUAACGCGUGGGUAACCUACCCAUAAACCCGGGACAACCCUUGGAAACGAGGGCUAAUACCGGAUAAUCUUUAAGCUUGGCAUCAAGGUUUAAGAAAGGGUGGCCUCUGAAAAUGCUACCGAUUAUGGAUGGACCCGCGUCUGAUUAGCUAGUUGGUGGGGUAAAGGCCUACCAAGGCGACGAUCAGUAGCCGGCCUGAGAGGGUGAACGGCCACACUGGGACUGAGACACGGCCCAGACUCCUACGGGAGGCAGCAGUGGGGAAUCUUCCGCAAUGGACGAAAGUCUGACGGAGCAACGCCGCGUGUAUGAUGAAGGUCUUCGGAUUGUAAAGUACUGUCUUUGGGGAAGAAUGACUGAUUUGAGAAUAUUGAGUCAGUAUGACGGUACCCAAGGAGGAAGCCCCGGCUAACUACGUGCCAGCAGCC
rnacentral:rRNA from 1 species